UGGAUCCAGACUUUGCUUAUGGCUCAGGAUGAACGCUGGCGGCAUGCCUAAGACAUGCAAGUCGAACGAGAUGGCCCAGUGAAGGUUGAGUGCUUGCACAAGACUGAAUCUGGAUUCCCAUCUAGUGGCAGACGGGUGAGUAACACGUGGGUGACCUGCCUUUUCGUUGGGGAUAACAGUUGGAAACGAUUGCUAAUACCGAAUAAAAUGUAAGAGUCAAUUUUACAUUGAAAGGAGCCUUUAAAGCUUCGCGAUUAGAUGGGCCUGCGGCGUAUUAGCUAGUUGGUGAGGUAAUGGCUUACCAAGGUGACGAUGCGUAGCCGAACUGAGAGGUUGAUCGGCCACAUUGGGACUGAGACACGGCCCAAACUCCUACGGGAGACAGCAGUUAGGAAUAUUCGUCAAUGGAGGAAACUCUGAACGAGCAAUGCCGCGUGAGUGAUGAAGGUCUUAUAGAUUGUAAAACUCUGUUGUAUGGAAAAAACGACUAGGUUAGGAAAUGAACUUAGUGUGAUGGUACCAUACCAGAAAGCCCCGGCUAACUACGUGCCAGCAGCCGCGGUAAUACGUAGGGGGCGAGCGUUAUCCGGAUUUAUUGGGCGUAAAGCGUGUG
rnacentral:rRNA from 1 species